ensembl:lncRNA
AAAAGUGAGUUAGAUUCAUUUUAAAAUGCUCAAUAUAAAAUGCUGUGUUAUUCACUAAGAAACAACAAUGAAGGCUUCCUGUAGAGGGAGGGCUGACAGAGAAUCAGAAACUUACUGAGGAAAUGAAACUUAUGAAAACAACAGAUGUUCACAGAUCAGAUGAGGGCGGGAACAGUGUACCAGUAUAAAUUACACACAGACCCACUGAUCUGUCCUUUCCAGAGCCUUCUGCUGCCAGAUCAACAAGAUUUUAUGGCGUUUCCUCUGUGGGAGAUGCUGUGGAAACUUGACUGGUCUUGUAGCACUAAUGUCAUCAUGAAGGAGGCGGAGUUUAUGUUAAAUUUUGGUGAAACCUUUGGUUUCUGCAUUGCUUGGUUGGUUGGUCUGGGGCCCAACUGAUAAAACAAAAAGCCCCAGAAAAAAAGUACAAAAAAAAUAAAAUUCUAAAUAAAAAUAGUAAAAUCUGCA